UCCUGUUCUGAUUGGGCGCGGCCGGCUUUAGUCGCUUUGCGUCAUCAGUUUGCCAGCUGAUCGGAGUUUGGAGCCGGCUUGCUGGGAGUUGCGGGGAGACAGGACAGGUCAACGAGUGGGAGCGGUCACUAGAGAAGCCCGAUGUUUUCUGCCAUCCCGGCGGCGGUGCGUUCGGCAGCCCUAAUAUCAAUUGAUACCUAUUGGAAUUCAUUCUUUUAGAGGGCUUUCUAUGAUCGGGGUGGGGUGUCUGGGGCAUCUGCAAGUGAGGUGUAAGCAUAGACUGGGUGGGGAGAAUGCGGUAGAUUGGGGAUUGUGUCCUAGGGAUGUGUCUGAAAUGCUGCCCACCCUUUGUGGAACUACAGCUCCCAGAAGCACUAAAAAGCUUCGGGUGCGAAGGGUUAAUGGGAGAUAUAGUGGGAAAAAAGCCCUGGAGGGCAUUAGGUUUGACUACCCCGCUGAUUGGUAUGGAUUGUGCAAUAGGACUGGGUUUUUGGAUUAGGUGAGUGGGCUGGAAUGGGUCUGUUUGGGUGUGGUAGGUGCGAUCUUUACAUUGAUCGCCUCUCCAUCUGUAGCUGAACUACGUCCCUAGCAUUCCCACCAAAGAUUUGUGCCGGUAGAGAAUGCUGGGAGGGCUAGUUUGGCGGCCGCAGGCGUAAGAACGCCCUAUAGAGCGAUGUGAGUGGGGUGCUGGGCAGUGCAAGAUACUUGCUGAGUAAGGUGGGUGACGCAUAGAGAGUUACAGGGAGCAGCUUUAUGCUGGGCUACAGUGCCGGGCCCUACAGUGUGUUCGCCCAAUAGGAGGGAAAGAAGUUUAUAGUUGUGUUUCUUGGUAUUUAUGGAGAGGGUAUGCAGAUUGGGUGUGCCAGGGCAUGCUCUGUAGGUUAUAUACAAGAUAUACAGCCCCAGAUUCAAUUCUGUGACAGUGGGCCCUUGGCUUUAGUGAAGUCCCUAUUGGUACUGGUUAAUAUCACUUGCCAAGUUACUAACUAAACUAGUAUUGUGUGAAGCAAAUUGGUUUAUCUAGCCUGCUAUUUAGUUGGAUAGAAAUGAUGAACACGAAGGCUACAGUUUGCAACUGGGUGGCUAGUGGGUGUGGUAGGCAGGUUGAUAAGCUAAAGUCUGGCCCUGGAAAUUGUAUAUAACCAAAGCAGUUAGUAGAUAUAGUAGACUGGGUUUAUGUAUAUGAAGGUGGGUUUUGAGGAGUACAAUGAAUGUACCCUGGAGGAUGGAAGGCAGGAUGGUAUCAUGGGUGUGGUAGGAAUGUAUGUGGUGGAGGGGGAGUUGGGAAAUGUGGUGUUGUUGAGGUAGCCAUCCAUGAUAGGGGCUAAACUGUUAUAGGUGUGGCAGGCAGAUUCUAAUUUGAAUCUGGUAUUGCUGGUAUGGCAAUUUAUUUGGUAUAUGAUAGUAAGGUUGGUGACUGAUGCAACAUGGUACUGGGAAUAGGCAGGUAUGAGGACUUUUAAUACUGUAUAACGAAUAUGAUAUAUAUGUAUAAUAUAUGGAUAUAUAUUGUAAGCAUUCAGUGAUACAAUAUGUUACUGAGAAUUUGGUGGCAAGGUUUGAGGGUUGACAGUGGUCCUGUAGCAGUUUGUAGAGGGGAAGCACUUAAUGUGGGCAGGUGGAUAUGAUGGGAGGAUGGAAAGUGGCAUUGUAGUUAAGGCAGGCAGGUCAGGUAGUGAAUCUGACAACAUGGUGGUAUGAAGGUGCAAUGUGGUGGACAGAAUGGCAUCAUUUAUUGUGUGAACAUUUGGCAGUAUGAAAGGGUGACAGGUAGUAAUGUGCCCUAUGUUGGAAUGAAGGGUUGUUGAAAUGGCAGACUACUGGCAAGGUGAUAUUAUGGCUAUAGCAGGCCAGAAGGUGGCAUGCAUGUGUGUGGCUAUGACAGGCCUGGCUGGUUAUUGCAGAUGUGGCAGGUUAGUAGGAGGGUGGCAUGGCAGGUUGGGGGGGUAACAUGAGAUGCCAGUAGAAUUUUGUGGUAAGGGUAUGAUAGAUAGGGUGGCAAAGGGCAUGUGGCAGGCGAGUUGACCAUUAACACAAAGUUUCUGGCUUCCAGACAGGAGGGUUGGUUGGUGCGAGUGGGCAUUGGCCACACAUGUAUCUGUGCAGGACUUGCCUGGGGUGGGACUAAUAAAGUAGGUUAGGCAGCAGCUUGCCCAGGUAGGCGCCACAAAGCUUAUUGUUGGUACCUGUGCUGUUAGUACCUAUAGGCUGCCGACCCCGGUCAGAGCUACGGAUCCCAGCGACAUAGAGGACUGACCACACCCAUCGCGCAAACGUGCCCCGGAGCCUGAAUGUAACGAAUAGAAACCCACUCUUUCUAGCCCAUGUUUUUCUGGCCCGCUAGAAGCAGUUCUUCAGUGGCAAGCUUUAUGUUGUUCCUCUGUGCUAAAGCUGCCAGUUGAAGAACUGUUGAAAGUGGCUACUGUUCGACUGGGAUUAUUGGUGUUUUGGAGGAAAACAAAUGGAUACAGAGAGGCUGCAGGUAAAUCCCUGUAAUCCUGCUGCUAUACCCUGUACGACUUGGUAAGUAGAUUAGAUCAGUUAGUAGGUAUGCCUACUUGUCGCUAUCAGGGCACUGGUAAAAGUAAAUGUUCGGUGUCCUAUGGCCCCUCACUGCAGGAAUAUAAUUUUUUAGGAAUUCUAAAGUCACUAAAGUGCUGGCCCACUGCUGAAAACAGUGAUUUUUAUUUAACAACUUCUGCCACAAUGAAAAAUAAGAUAGCUUUUUGGAUAAAGGGUGCCAAACUGACAAAGUAACACUCUAUUAAAGUAGUUGCUCCGUAUAAACCAAAUGCAUAUAUAUGCCGUGCCAUCUAAUAGAUUAUCUUAGCUGAUGCGUUUCCAUGGGACUUUGUGCUGGCUUUCUGUGUGUUGUAGGAAACGUAACAAGAUGGAAGCUUUGGGAGAGAAGCAACACAUCAAGCAAGUGAUAUAAGAAAAUACUUUAUAUUACUGUAGUUUUUGCCUACAAUUCAAGCAAAUGAAUGUAUCUGUCAUUUUAUAAACUUUGAAACACAAUAAAAACCUAAAACUGA